ACACCCAAAUCAAUUAAUAAACGGGGAAUGAAGAAAGAAGCUCUUUUGACUUGCUUUUCACAGCAUUUGAACUAUCAUUUCUUGUAUAAUGGACAUCGUAAGAGUUGUCUAAAGCCCUGCCAUUCAUGGUGGCUUCAAAUACUAUGCUAAAAGUCCUAAUUAUGGACUGUUUUGAACACGGAUCAUCCCCAUACUUCAUUCAAAUCCAACCAUCGCUUUUCCUUGAGUUUACAGAACUUUACAGUACUAACAUAGAGAGAGAAGAAAAGAAAAACAUUAAAUUGAGGGCAGCAGGAGUUUGGAGUACUGAGGGUACAUCAGUAAUUAAUACUGAGUACCAGAAAUAAAAAAUAAAACAAUAAUUUACACUAUAACACUAUAUACAUUAUACAUACACAUAAAGUUACUAAUGCAACAAAACAGUUAUCUUUUACAUUUAACGUUAAAAUAGUUUAUUGUCUUUGCACUUGUGGAUGAAUCCUAUGAAAAA